AUAUGUUGGUUGCUUUGAAUGUGACCAUACUGCAGAAAGCACUCAAUUAGAUGUUUUACUCUCUGGAUACUGAAAAACGUGAUCACUUGCUAGAAAUUUUACUGUGUUCCUGCCUUGGGCAAGUGACAAACUUUAUGACUAUCAUGUUUUAUCUUCCAUAUGCCACAAAGAACUCUUCCCUGAUACUAUCAUAAAUCAGUGGCUUAUCAAAGACAAGGGGGAAAAAAUCUUGAUAAUCAUGUGACUUGUCCUGUAUACCUCAUUAGAGAUGUGAUGAUGUGAUUUCUUGGAGUUACCAGUUAAUCUCUGGUUUUCUUGGCUUUAGCUUGGAUAUGGCCUAGGAUAUAUAGGAUGACUUCUGCAGAAUGUCACGAGACAUUGGGCUUCUUGUGGUUUACUCACCAAAGUACCUGGUGCUUAAUCCCUUUCAGAUUUGGUUAUCUUAGACCGGUAGAUAAAUUUUCUUCAUAAAUAGUAUCUCCUAAAAUUGUAUGGAUACCUGGUUCCUUAAUGUUAGAAAUAGAAUUUUGUAUGAUGAAAGCACAUGAAAGUUCUAUGAAUUUCACAAAUUAGACAAGUAGUUAUGACAUGUCCAACUACUUGUAAUAAAAGCUACAUUAUUCUUCAUCAAUUUUUUAUUCUUGUUCGCUAGGGUAUAAAACUUUAACAUACUUUCCUAAAUCCUUCUUCCCCUAUUGUAAUCCUCUCCAAACCUUUCAUGCAUCUAUAAUUUGUUUGUCACCUUACUGCAUAACCACUUCAACUGUCCCUGAAUUUCCCUGUAGAUUCUUUGUUCAAGGUUAACUGAACUUCUUUGUCUAUCAAAGUGCACAUGGAGUUGGCAGAUUUAUGUAUUAACCAACUAUUACAAAAUGCAAUUGUUUUUUAUGUAAAACAUUCUUAAGACUCUAUUAGGACUUUUCAUUAACUUGGUUGUCACUUUUUCAGUUGUAUCAAUAUUAUCGGAAAAUCCGAUAGCAACCCAUUUUUCCAUUCAGUGUUUUCUGAUAAUAUAUUCAAUAAUUUUGGCACACAUAUUGAUAAUAUUUUCAUCGACUCAAUUGUCACUUUAUAGUUUUGGAACACAGUUUUUUUCCAUUCUAAGGGAUGAAUUGCUUCUAGAAUUGGGGUUCUUCUUUAUUACUUCGUGUAUGCUAUAUUUAUUGUCAAAGUACUGAAUGGAAAUUACUAUCACGUGUACAUGAGCCUUCAACCCUUAUCACGUGUACUAUAGAACCCAUUAUUUUCAUACCAUGUUCCACAUCUUAGAUGACGUAGGAUUGGAAUGCUCACUCUAGUAUUAUAGUAUUGAUAUCACCGGGAGCAAAGCCCAGGAAUUUAUAGUUAUGCUUUUGAUGGUAUCAUUUCCUCCUAUUAUUUAAAGUUUAUGUAUGUUGUUGGCAAUCCACUUUACUGAAAAAAUAAAAAAGAAUUGACAUACUAUCAUCUUCCUUAUCAUGGGUAUGGCCUCCACCUCUGUGAAGAUUUAAAGCUUUGAUAACUUACUAUUUUUCCUUACCAAAGAUCUGUUGGUAUUUGUUUUAUAAUAUGUUCUUCCAUUUUAGAUUAGCUGCUUCUGUGUAGCAGAUUGAAGAUUUCAGUGAGUAAAGCAUUUUUGGUUCAAGGAGAAUGAGUUGUUUCUUUCUUUCUGUUUUUAACAACGUAUCAAGCCUGUAUCCCACCAUGUGAAUUGCCUUAAAGGACUUGUGGAGCGAAUGUGGAAGGCAAAUGAAGAAUGCAGCUCAAACUGCAGAAACCAUAGUUAUUAGAACCGAAUUAGAUACUAAACCGAUAAAUAAGUAAAUUUUAAAAAUUUUCAUCAUAUGAAAACACACAGAAAUCAACACAAACCAUAUAAUAACUUGGAUGUUUAAGCAACGCAACAUUACAUCAUAUGUAAUAAACUGAAUGCGUACUUGGAUGGAAGAAACUGAGUGGGUGUAGAAACUGUUUCUACACAAAAACCACUUCCUCCUCGAGUCGUGGAGGUCCAUUCAUACCAAGCUAGCAACUCUAGAACCCUUCGUUGAUUUCCUGUCCUAGACAAAGUCAUAGCGAAGUUGAGUGACAGCUGGUACUGUUCUUCCUAGCCCGUUCAUCUCAUGAACAUCAAUUGGCAGGACUAAACGAAAGGGACAACAGGCUGAAAACUCGCUGACAACUCUUGCCAAAGUCCACUGGCAGAAACUGGCUGGAGACAACUGCCGGCAACUCUUGCCGACCCCAAAGCAGCCACCGGAGAAACAAAAAAUUGGUCCUGUUGGCAACACUUACUGGAUACUGCAACAAACUAUUUCACCGAACUACUUACUGCUGCAAUAGCUUGCUGAACUGCUUGCCACUGCAACUCCAGCCGCCUGCAACUCUGGUCGCCUGCUUGCUAUUCACUGCUGCAACUCUCGCACUCGCCAGUGACCUUGCUACAAUAUGAAGAUCACCGGAAAUUGUAAGUGCAACACCGCCAGCAACCUUUGCCAUCGGUUGCCUGCAACUCUUGCCGGAGCCGGGAUACUUCUAUCACUGCUGCGUUACCGGAAGCCGCACCGGAAAAACCAUGAGGAAAGCCAUCAGAUUUGGCAACAACUCCUUGCCGGCACCAAAGCAAAAACAGCUACUGGUUGCGGCUGAUGCUGCUCGCUGGCCACCACCUGCGUACACGCUGUCACACGCCUGCUACAUGCAUGCUGCGCUCACUGCACGUUGGCCGCACACUAGCCGCGCGCUGCUUGUGUGCAUUGCUGCACGCUGUGCCACACGUUGGCCAUGUGCUGGCUGCACGCUGCUCAGGUGCUUUGCUGAUUAGGGCAUUAAUUAAAUCUUGAGGCUUGGGUCUAAUUAAUGCUCAAGUCCAUGAUCAUCCCAAUUUUAUUUAUUUAUUCAUUCGUUUUAUCUUGCAUGUGAUGUUUGAUGGAAUGAAUGGAUGCAAAUGAUGAGACCUGUAAAUAGAAGUCUGAAAAUCUUCCCAUAUGCAAACUAAUAUUAGAUUUAAGCGGUGAAUCAAAGUCAUUGUAGCCUUCCACUA